rnacentral:rRNA from 1 species
GUGCCAGCCGCCGCGGUAAUACGGAGGGAGCGAGCGUUGUUCGGAAUCACUGGGCGUAAAGCGUACGUAGGCGGUCUUGCAAGUCAGGAGUGAAAGCCCAGGGCUUAACCUUGGAAUUGCUUUUGAAACUGCAAGACUAGAGUCCCGGAGAGGUUGGCGGAAUUCCGAGUGUAGAGGUGAAAUUCGCAGAUAUUCGGAGGAACACCAGUGGCGAAAGCGGCCAACUGGACGGGAACUGACGCUGAGGUACGAAAGCGUGGGGAGCAAACAGGAUUAGAUACCCUUGUAGUCC